rnacentral:lncRNA from 1 species
AUAGCAAAUAGUUUAUUGGUAAGUACAUAGUUUCAAUGGGAGUAAUAAAUUCACAUGAGCAGGAGACAAUAAUCAAGUCAAAAGAAUAAAUGCUUACUAAUCAUCAGAAAAUCUGUGGCCAUUAAGGCUGGCACAUAAAAAUCCAAAAUCACUCAGAGGCCGAAUCUUAAAAGAAGAUUCGUCCUCUUAUUAGUUCAUAUGGAAUAGGUCCAUAGUAACUGGAAUCUGUAGAAUUCUGUAGAUUUAUCACCUUCUAACCAAACAUGACCCACUGGGACAUAACUGUAGCUUUUAAAGAAAUCUGAUGGACUAGUGGUGAGGAUUUUGUCUCCUUCCAAACCAGUUACUCUUUUACAAAUAUUUGAUGUUGGAUCACUUGGGCUUUUUGCAAUCACAAUAACACAUGACAACACCACCAACGUAUUCAGAAGCACAGUGAGCUAUACAGCCAUACUGAAUAGCAUAGCCAACAAGUCAGAAGGUUUCCCCAGAGCACCACGAAGCAUAGUUCUAUGUAGACUCUGCCACCAUUGGAAUCCUCGGGUCCCAAAGAACCCUGAGGACCCUCAACCAGGACACAGGUGGGCCUUUCUCACCUGGGCCCUGCAGAAGUCGACCGU